rnacentral:rRNA from 1 species
CCUGCCCUCGAGCGGGGGAUAACGUCCCGAAAGGGACGCUAAUACCGCAUGACAUCCUGCCUUUGAACAGGCGGAGAUCAAAGCUGGGGAUCGCAAGACCUAGCACUCGAAGAGGGGCCCGCGCCUGAUUAGCUAGUUGGUGAGGUAACGGCUCACCAAGGCUACGAUCAGUAUCCGGCCUGAGAGGGCGGACGGACACACUGGGACUGAGACACGGCCCAG